rnacentral:rRNA from 1 species
CCUACGGGUGGCUGCAGUCGAGAAUCAUGCACAAUGGGGGAAACCCUGAUGGUGCGACGCCGCGUGGGGGAAUGAAGGUCUUCGGAUUGUAAACCCCUGUCAUGUGGGAGCAAAUUAAAAAGAUAGUACCACAAGAGGAAGAGACGGCUAACUCUGUGCCAGCAGCCGCGGGAAGACAGAGGUGUCAAGCGUUGUUCGGAAUCACUGGGCGUAAGGCGUGCGUAGGCUGUUUCGUAAGUCGUGUGUGAAAGGCGCGGGCUCAACCCGCGGACGGCACAUGAUACUGCGAGACUAGAGUAAUGUAGGGGGAACCGGAAUGCUCGGUGUAGCAGUGAAAUGCUUAGAUAUCGAGCGGAACACUCGUGGCGAAGGCGGGUUCCUGGACAUUAACUGACGCUGAGGCACGAAGGCCAGGGGAGCGAAAGGGAUUAGAUACCCGGGUAGUC